AAGUCAAAUGUGAAAUCCCCGAGAGCUUACCUUGGGAAUUGCAUUCGAUACUGGUUAGCUAGAGUGUGGGAGAGGAUGGUAGAUUUCCAGGUGUAGCGGUGAAAUGCGUAGAGAUCGGAAGGAAUACCGAUGGGCGAAGGCAGCCAUCUGGCCUAACACUGACGCUGAGGUGAGAAAGCAUGGGGAGCAAACAGGAAUUAGAUACCCUGGUAGUCCAUGCCGUAAACGAUGUCUACUAGCCGUUGGGGCCUUUGAGGGCUUUAGUGGCGCAGCUAACGCGAUAAGUAGACCGCCUGGGGAGUACGGUCGCAAGAAUAAAACUCAAAUGAAUUGACGGGGGCCCGCACAAGCGGUGGAGCAUGUGGUUUAAUUCGAUGCAACGCGAAGAACCUUACCUGGCCUUGACAUAGUAAGAACUUUCCAGAGAUGGAUUGGUGCCUUCGGGAACUUACAUACAGGUGCUGCAUGGCUGUCGUCAGAUAAUGUCGUGAGAUGUUGGGUUAAGUCCCGCAACGAGCGCAACCCUUUUCCUUAUUUGCCAGCGAGUAAUGUCGGGAACUUUAAGGAUACUGCCAGUGACAAACUGGAGGAAGGCGGGGACGACGUCAAGUCAUC
rnacentral:rRNA from 1 species